CAAAUCCACCACAAAUACAAGGUAUCCACUAUUCACACAGGCAGAGUCUCUCCUAUAUUUGCACGGCGUCGCACAAGUACAAGAUACAACCACAAGUAUUAACAUCCACAUACAAACACCAUUCACAUUCACCAUUCAUUUCAUCACAGAUAUUCAUAAAUUCACAUCUAUUAGUUUAAAACAUUUCCCACUUGGAAACUUAUUUUGAAAUACUAAGAAUUACGAAAACUAGUAAACCCUUUUUAAAACAAUUUCCCACACGGAAACCUUUUCUUUUAAAACACGCUACCUCGAGAGGUAGAAAACCAUUUUCAUCUCAUAAAAAUCAUCAAUUCUUUAUUACAUUCAUAAAAUCUCAUUUAUCCAAAUAAAGUAAACCACUGAACCAAUAAGUCUAAGU
rnacentral:lncRNA from 1 species